GGUGGAUCAUUGCUUCAAAAAAAUAUCUACAUCAAUGUUUGAAAACAACCAUUGAAAGAAAAGGAAGAAAUAGAAUUCACAAGCAAAGCCCAGACUCCCUGGUUGGACUAUCAUUUCACACAUGGACUUUCUUUAUAACUGGGGAGAUGGUUGCGUCAUGUGGAUCCCUGACCAUGGUGCAUCAUGGAAGAUGGAGUCCAGCCGUAAAGUCCAGCUCAGACAUAAUUGAGACACGAGGAAACUGCUUACAACUUCCAUAAGGCACUGAGCCCACAUAGCCUCUAAGACUGGAAAAUGAAGUUGACUGCUACCGUGAACCUGUUUGGACACCAGGCAGCAAAACAUACCUGUUUCAGUGGAAGGAGUUUAAGAGCACUGCAGAGAUCUUUAGUGCAGUGUAUCUUGGCUUACACAGGCCACGGUCUUAAUUUCAAAACAGUACUAGUUGUGCUUUCUCUGUACCUGCAACUGAAGAACUAGAGGAAGAGGAUGGCAUCAGUAAAUCUAAAUCCCAAACUCAUGUCACAGAAAAUACCCUGAAGUCUAAGCAAGACAAGGCUCGUGGUAAGUAGAUCUCUACCAUUACACUUUGUGGCUGUAAACUUGAAGGAUACUUGCUCAAGGCACAUAACGCAGAAAAGCAAGACCUAAGUAUUUUGGGAGGGAAAGGAAUGGGAUGGGGGAAUGGGAUAGUGUGUUAAGUUUAUGGCAAAUUCCCUGAAAAUUUUUGCUCUUCCAGUAUUUGUGUGUGCAUGUGUGUGUACACAUUUAUAAACACUGCUAGUCUGCUGUUCUGAGGCAAUUGUAAACUAUAGUUCUUCUUGACUACAUGAAAGAGGUUUGGUGUCAGUGACCACAUUUCAAGCUUUCAAAACACAUGGUGGGUAUUUUAAUUUCUGUGGAUUCAGUUUAAAAUAUUGAUACUAAAUGUAUAACAGGUAUGAUCUGAAAUUAUUUUACAGAAAAAUUAUUGAUGUGGGAGAGUACAGAAAAUAAUCUCAAGUACAUUUGGAUGUUAAGGUACAUUGGUGAAUGCUGCUGUGGAGUAUUGUAUUAUUAACAAUAAAGAUUUGUAAAUUAGCAAUGGGGAAACACUGACAAUAACAUUUCUUUCAAAAGCUGGUAUAUCUUUCUGUAAUAAAAAUAAAUCCUAAAAUUGGCUUCUUAUGCAUAUAAUGAAAACUAAUUAAGUGUGGAGAAAAUUUGACGUGGUAGAAUAAAAUUAAAUAGCUUUUUAAAAGACUUCCCUAAACAGCACUAGCUAGGGAGAAGUCCAAUAAUAUUUUUAGCUCUGAAUUGUAAUACCUUUGCUAUAUUAAUAAAUCAUGUUGCAUUCUGACUUUUAUCAAAAGACACAGAGGAGGAGAACUGCAUAAGGCACAAGGAAGCUACAAGGAAGCUCUGACUUUUUUUCUCCCCUCCAUCAAGCUACUGUACACAUGGCCUUUCAAGAUGAGCAACUCCCACAGAAUGCACUUACUGCGGUAGGUCAAAAUUGGUGCAAGUGAAUGACAGUAAUAAAUGAAUAAUCAAAUUAUAAUGUGGAAUGUACUACUUAAAUAGACUAUAUCUAAUAUGUGAGGGGAAAGUGUGAUAUUAUCCUUUUUAUGUUUCCCACGUUUGAAUUAUUUUUAUGAAAAUUGUAUUUUUUUCUUAUGCUGUUUAAGGUUAUUUAUUUAUUGACUAACUAUUGAAAUGAGUAAGACUAGAAUUGACAUGCACACAGAAAAUAAAUGGUUUCAUUUACCCAACACAUUUGUGAAUACAGACUCCUUGUAGCAAUUUAUUUGUGAUAACACUAACCUGUAUAUGAGUUCUAGGCACAAUGCUGAACAAGAGACUUAAAUUAUAAUUAUUGUUAUUAUUAUUCUUUUACUGUGGCUGAGAACAAGACCAAAAUAUAGCCUCUCUGCAAGUAAGGAAUCCUAAACCUUGAGAAGAAAAGCUUUGGGUUGUUGUUGUUGUUUUUAAAGAUGAGAUACAGUGACACAACUCCUAAAAAUGGGCUAGCUAAAAAAAAGAUGACAAGUGGAAUGAUUUUUUUUAUCAGCAGAUCAUGUAUCAAAUGUAUAAUUUGUUGAUUUAGGAAUACGAACUGAUGAAAUAUGUCUUUGACACUACUGCGCUACAUUGUCAUGUGGAAGCUUUUUAACCGUCUUGAUGAGUCCUAGUCUUUGACAUUUACUAUUAUAAAAAGCCUGGUUGAUAGUGCAGUACCGUAAUUAUGUUUCUAUGAAAACAAUUCAGAUAAAAGAUCUUCAUCCCUAUAUUAUUAAAAAAAAGUUAUUAACAUUGUAACAUAACAUAAAUGUCUCUUUUGAGAGCUUAUUUAUCCUUUUUAAAAAAUCCCUGUUUUUAUAGUGUUAUUUUUAAAUAAAAUUGAGCAUAUUCAAUAUAAUUCAUCAUUUUUUUCUAAACUGCACAUUGUGCUUGCCCAAAUGCUAAGCAAAAUAGGGACUGGCUCUGCUCUAUUUAGAUAUUUUAUUUUUGUAGUUGGUAUUUAUUUUGUAAACAUUUGCUGCAAUAAUAAAGAUCCAAUAUUUUAAUCAUAUAUGUGUGUUUUGCAGCAAGUAACUUUAAAAGGCAAAUAAACAAGUGAAAAGAAAGAGUUCUGCUUUUUAUUAGGAAAUCAUUAUGUUAAAUAUCAAUUAUAUCAUUUGGGAACACUUGCCAUUUACUAGGAAAUGUUAAGUCGAUAAGUGUUUUUGUCCCUGGUAAAGUUCACUUUUUACACAUAAUUUGUGUACAAACUGAGAUAAAAGGUUAAUUAAGGUUACAUGCUCUGAGUUUUGUAUGUAUUUUUGCAUAUAUAACUGUUAUAUAUAGUUGAUGCAAUUUUUUAUUCUGUUACAUUUGGUAUGAAUAAUUUCUUAGUACAUGGCUAUUUAUUACAGAACCAUUAAAACAUAGUAUCCCUGAGGGGAAAUGGAUACCUGAUAUUGGUAUGUGGCUUUGUGUCUGAAUGUAUAACACUCUGAGUUGGCUGAAAGAGAAUAUGGUAACAGUGUAUCCUCAGGUAAAAUUCUCAGACACUAGAUUAUUAUGGAAUACAUAAUAGGAGUACUGUUUUCCUUACACUCUCCUUUUGGGAAAUAUAAUUCAAAUUUUUCAAAUUAUGUCAUGUGGAUAUUUGAGGGUAAAUAACUGACAUUGUACCUAGGGAAUUAUAGGUGAAUAGCACCUGAUUUUGUUAAUGGGAGUUGUGUACUUAAUUCCUACUAUAAUAUAUAGAAUUGACAAUGUCCUCCUUAGAAAAAUGUAACACUUUAAACAUAAUUUCUCAUAUUUUGGGCUUGUUAAAAAGAGAUUCUUAGUGUAUAGCUAAAUGAACUCCAUUUUUCUGUGUGACUUCACUGGCACUCGAGUUUUCUGUCUUAUAGCAAAAUGUAUGUCAUUGGGUGCUUGUGAAUGACUUGUCUGGAAUUAAGAAUCUUUUAUAUCUAAGGCAGCUUUUAGGAACUUUAGUAAAACUUCCAUAAGAAACUUCUCUUCCCUUUUCCGCAUAGCAUAAAGAAUGUUCUCUCAAAAGACAUGUAGAGUUCUUCCUAUAACGUCACUGAGGAGAAUGGGAAGGGAGCUAUGCAUUUGCAGGAAAUUUAGACUGAUCUAUUUAGUUUAUCUUCUUAGCAUGGACCCAGCACAGUGAUAUCUCAGUAUUGAACAUUUUUCUUUUCACAUCACUCCUGCAUCCUUUCAGUUACAAAGUUUUUGACUUGUGUCUACGUAAGCUAAGAUGCAAUUGUUUAAAACCUAUGCAAGAAUUGUUCUGUUGAGGACGCAAGUAUUGGAAGAUAUGACACACUUGGUUCAAAGUGAAAUAUUCAAAGCUAAUGUUCUUGGGAAGGGUCUAAUCAAAUGUUGACAUUGAAUGUGACCACACUCAGACAUUUCUCAUAUGAUCAACAGCUGGAGUUUAGAGUGCUCUUUUUAUAAUACAAAGUGAGUGGUCUUCAUUUUGCUCUUCCCAGAAGUAGCACUCAUGCUGCGUUGAAAAGAAAUUGCCAUAUUAUGGUAUAUACAGUCAAGCUGUUCUUUGGAAUUGUGGCUGAUGUAAAUCAGUGUGGGUCUACUGAAGUCAAUGGCGCACAGAUUUACGCCAGAUGAGGACGCUAGCCCUUUAUCUCUUCCAUCCCCCCUCCAGUUAUUUUGUUAUAAACUUGCAUAAGAUAGAAAAGGGAAUCAUCCUAAAACUCUCUGAAACUUGUAAUAAAAUGUCUUUUUUAACUUGGGGGAAAAUACUCACUUUUAACACAUGUAUGCAGUAAUAUGGUUUUUCACAUACCACCACGAAUACUAAAAUUGUUGAAAUAAAUAAGGUUCUUUCAACAUUGUCUUUAUAUACUGAUAUUCUGAAGAAAAAAAAAACAACCUAUAAUGAGACUUUCAGGAAUAACCUAACCGCAGAGCAUGCAAAUCCACAGUCCUGUCUAUGUAAUGUGUAUCCUGAGCUGCUGAGAUUUUUUUGUCCUGCAGGGUGAGUUCCAUUAAAUUACAUUGAUUUCCUAUUGAAAAGACACUCCUCCCUUCUUGCUGGACAUCAAUAAUCUUAAAAGGCCAUGUGACCCUUCUCCUUAAUGGAGAAACAUAAUGAAAUCCUCACUCAAGUAGAAAAUAAUGCUCUGUAGCUUUAAAAAAUGACCACUGAUCUUUUUUCCAAAAGAAUUUCAUAAAGGUCAUUAUUUUGUACUUCUAUGUAUGACACAUGAGGAAAACUCUGUAUUUACUUGUGCCACAGACAGUAACAACCAAUAUUCUAUUACAUUAGAAAUCCAUGUUUUUCAAGUGAUAUCUCUCAUUUGCAUUUUUAUGAGCAGUGGUAAAAUAUUUCAUGUUUUAUUUUGGUGUGAAAUAUUUUAUUUUUUGCUCUCUGCCUUUCUCAUCCUUUAACUUGCCUUUUUAAAACCAAAUCAAACAGUUCCUCCUCAUGAAGUAUUCACUCACUCACUCACCUGUGCACACAUACAAUGUUUAAAAUAAAGUUGAGACUGGCUUAAACAGAGGAAAAAGGAAAUCAAAUUUAAAGGCUAAAAUACUCAUCUGUAAUACAUGGCAGCGAUUAUCCAGAACUGUUUUAUUUAGCCUUAAAUUAUGAAUGUUCCACAAAGAACAGUGCAUCAGUUACUGACCUGGUAUAAUUUAAAUUCUCUAUUACUACUGAGGUAUAAGAUUGUUCUACUAUGUCUAACAUUAGGUUCAAUCAGAUUUCAGAAUGAGAGAGUUUGAACUGAAGGUAGUAUUUUUUCAAGUUUAAAUGGGAAUAUUUCUUUGUAUAAGAUAUGUGGCUCUUUUCUUAAUCAAAAUGUAGUUAUUUACAAUUUAUUUUUCCCCACGGGGAUAAAAAGAGAUCUUUGUAUUUCGCAAAAAGUAUAGCACUAGUAAGUAAAGAGUUAAAGUGAAGGCAGGCUCACUGGUUUGUUGAGAUCUGUCAGAGUCUGAGUGGCUGGCUACAUAUCUGUCUCAGGAACAAUAGCUACCUGUAUUCUGUACAGACUGCUGGGCAGGCACUAGCAAUCUGGAAAAGGUCUGUCUCUGUUAGAGGUUUCUUAGUAAGAAUUCUUAAUGACAGUCCCACUUUUCAUUGGGGAGGGAAAAAAAAAUCCUGUCUUCUCUUUUGAUGAAGGACAGAGCUUUGAUCAUUUUCGUUCAGCCUUGACUUGGCCUGAGAUUUAGGUCUGAAGAUUAGAAGUCAGGAGUGUCUCUCUCUCUCUCUCUCUCUCUCACACACUCACACACUCACACACACACACACACACACACUCACACACAUACUAGUCUGUGCAGGCAGAUUAGUGUCACAGCUGUAACUGAGGCACAGAGCAAUAAACAUAGCAGAACCAAUCUCCAUGGAGGCAAGAGGGGGCACUGGAGGUGACAACAAUGAGAAGGAUCUCUUCUUCUGACAAGUUUUAGGAAGCACGGGAUCUUUAUACAGGUACGAUAAAGAAAUAAACAUUGGACUACGUCAUAUAGUUUCUGGAGAACAAAAGAGGCUUUGCAGUAAAAGGUGGAAUCAAAUGUGCUGACCAUCUCCAGAUGAAGAGCUUUUCAUUAUCUUGGGAAAACAAAGUCUCCAUUGCACCUUCAAUUCCCUGUGGAUAGCUGAGGAUUGCUGUCAUUUUGAAAGCAGUGUUCCAGUUGGAGUGGAUGAUUGAUCAUACCCGCCAGCUGGCUAAUAUCAUAAUUAACAAAGUUGCUACCAUGUCUGAGAAGUAUAAUCGAAAAAUUUACCAGCAGCAUGGUGCCAUUGUCAUGAAGAUCAUAAGCAUUGCAGAGUCGACUUUUGCAUUGAUGGAGCUGCGGAGCUAUGUAGAUGUGCUGAGAAGGGAUGCAUUUGUACAGCUAAAGUGAGAUGCGAUUGCAGAAAGAGGAAGAUUUAGUUCUGGCAAAACUAGUCCAGUGGCAAAGUGCAGAACUGAUGUGGCUGUCAUGGUAAAGGAAUUCCGGAAUAAAGAACCACUGUCUGAAGCUAAUCUUUACAUGCAGGAGCUAUAUGGUAUCAAUGGCGGAAAAUUGGAACUUAUUAAAGAGCGAAUGGUGAGUUGUGCCGUGGUAGUGCUCAGUGAAGAGAAACUCUGAUUCAUCAAAGAAAAGGCAGAUCUUUCAGAGACAGGUCAAAUCAACUGUUUUGAUGAAAUACAGAAUAUGUCAAUACAGUAUAAAGGAAGUAUUUGAGAGACUAUGGACAACUGCUGUUCAGUUUAACAUAUGUAUGACAAGUGUACACAUCAAUGCAGAGGAAGUCGAAAGGAGGUUCAGAAUUUAUGGAAGACUAUCUACAAACUGACAAAGGUAUUUUGCCUACUAGACUUGCGUAGCCUUUUGAAAAUGCCCACAAAUAUGAAAACGAAAUCUGAAAAAUUUAAAAUCAGCAUGUCACUUAUAAAAGAUCUGUGUACACCUGAGAUUUAGCCAAGAUCCUGGAAUAUGAUGAAUCAAAAGGUUCUGCUGCAGGAUCACAUUGUGAAAACUACAACCAUGAAAGGCCCUCCAUUUAUUGCACCCUUCAAAAACGAAAUAUUAGCAUGGGAGGCUAAGCUGUGUAACUACUGCAGGAGCUUAUGGAAUUCUGGCUGCAACUUCAAAAGACCCUGGUGAUGCUGAGAACCCAUUUUCUUGUUCAUAAGACGCAUGUUACCAAAUAUCAAUAAAAGGAAAGCACUAUGAAAUUGUCAAUAGGAACUGGAGGCUAAUAAUGAAGGAGUCAGUGAAGGAGGCCAAUGGCAUGAGGGUUAUCUCACAGCCCCAGAUGCUGGAUAAGUUGAAGGAGGCAGAAUCGCUUUUGGAUGACAUUCAGAAAGGCCUGAAUGAUUAUUUGGAGAAGAAAAGACUAUUCUUUAUAAGGUUUUUUUCUUUCUGUGCAACGAUGAGCGCUUAGAAAUCCUUUCUGAGACAAAGGAUCCACUCCGAGACCAACCACACCUAAAGAAAUGCUUUGAAGGAAUUGCCAAGCUCACUUUUAAUCAUGAGAAAGAAAUUACUCACAUGGAGUCAGCAGAAAAUGAAAAAGUAGAGCUCGUGCUGCGAAUAAUUCCAGCAAGUGCCAAGGGGCUAGUUGAGAAAUGGCUUCAUGAGGUGAAUAUCUUUAGCUCUUACUUAGGGUUUAGUUACUGUAUAAUCAUUUUCUCUUUUAGAAGAAAGGAAUAUCAUAAGCAUAUUUCCUAACUAAAUAGCUCACUGAGAAUUUAUCAUGAUGUAGACAGAAUAUCAGCGUCCUUGUUGUUAUUUAUUACAACUAAUUGACAUGUGCAAUCAUGCAAAAUUAAUUUUAAUAAAAUGGUUAUCAGUGUGUGCGAGAGUUAUUAAAAGUGUGUGUGUCUGAAAGCAUCUAUGUGACUAUAUGUUCAAGUCUUUGUAUAUGUAUUUUUGUUGUCUUCUCCCUGUAAUUUUUAAAGUCUGGAAGGAUAGAUUUUAAAAAAGGCAGCUGAAAGGAACUUGAAGAAAUUAUUUUUAUACCAUCCCCCCUAAAAUCUUAAUUUUCAAUACAUAUAAAGUAAAAGAGAGAAAAAAUAAUUAAUUGACAACAUACUAGCCUUUCCCCUUUGGGCCUAUGAUCCAGAUUAAUCAGUUUCGGUAUGAAAUUAGUGUGAUCUCUUUUUGUUGGCUUUACUUUUACAUUCUUCUGUUAUACAAUCAUAGUGGGUCCUUCCUCUGAUAUAUGAUUCUAGGCCAAGCAUUCCCAAGUUCGUUCGUUCUUCCUUCCUUCCUUCCUUCCUUCCUUCCUUCCUUCCUUCCUUCCUUCCUUCAGAAUCAGCCCCAGGUACACAGCUUCUCUUUCUCUUUUCAUUUCAAGUUGCUGCUUUUACCCCAUUGAAUCUGUCCCUUUACCUCUUGCCUUUCUCAGUAGACUGUCAGCCAAUCAGUGUAUACAGCUGAGAAAAACAAUACCUUACACUAGAAAGGGAGAAAAGGAAAAACAAAAAAACACACACAAAGGAUGUUCUUUCCAAAGUAGAUUCUGCUGGGGGAGGGGAAGCAAGAAGAGAAAUUUGUCUCAUGAACUAAGAGACAAUUUUAGCUAUGAGUGUUACCUUUGUUAUGUGUCUAGUUUUCGCAGGCUGGGUGAGCGAAACAAAACCACUCAGGUCUACUCAGGAUUCCAUGUUUGCCACAUAACUGAGGCACCUAUCACCAUGCCAACUUAGAAUUAAUCUUUUUUUAAAGCAACUGCACACAACUGAAAACAUUUAAUCACAGUUAGGUACUAUCCUUGCCCUCUCCUAACUUAGACACAAGUCCUUCCUUCCUUACUCUCCAAAGAAGAUUAUUAAACUUUAUUCUUGUACUCCUUUUCAGCACAAUAUUAUGUUCUUUGGAACAACAUUGGCACUAGAGAGCUGUGGCUAGGUAUGAUAGAUGCAUUUAUGUUGAGCCACAGAAAGGCAGGACUCUCACCAUCCUGGAAAACCUGCAAUAGGUUGGUUAGGUCUCACUCUCUCUAACAGAAGAGAGAAAGAUAGGGAGAUGAGCAGCCAUGUUUAUUUCAAUACAUCUCGUUUAACCCUCACCUUAAAACAAAUGGGAAGGUUUGGGAGUGCAUUAAUCUGGACCCAAUUAGCAUCUCUCUCUCUCCCUCAAAAGUGCAACCUGAGAUUAAUGAAUAUAAAAUCGAGUUUCAUAUGCAGUCUUUAAAUCAUUUGCAUGUUUUAUGCAUGAUAAUUGAAUUUAUUUAUGCACUUCCUUUCAUUUAAUGAUUUCCUACUUUUUCCUGUUCUAGCCACAUUGUACUAUCCAAGAAAUAGGAUUUGAUAGGCAGCAAGGAUAGGUGUAUGUAAAUAAGUGUUAAUUUUUAGAUCUAAUGACAACUGUAAAUAAAAAUAAAUAUUUGUGUAACUUUAAUUGGGUUAAUAUAAAAUAUUAUAGUUAAAGUAUAUACUCUGAGACUCUUUAGAUACUUUGGAUAUUGUUUAGUAUGCUUGUAAGUGUACAAGCAAAAUUAUUUUCAAAAGGCCAUGAAAGGCAGUUAAAUUACUGUAUUGACAUUUCUAUGACCCUAGAGACUUAUUUCAACUUGGCCAAUUAGUAGUAAUAGUAGCAAUAAGAUAAUCAGAAGAUGAAUAGUAAUUACAUUAAUAACUAAUGGUAUUCAGUGCAAGGCCUAGAAAAUCAGAGUCUGGCUCAGACUCUACAUUAUAAUUUGUCUUAUUCCAUAUUUGAUCAGUAGAAAUAUGAGCAUUGGAAACAUAGGCAGGAUAUAGACAUUCUAAAGAUCAGUUUGCCACAUUACUGGCCCUGUGAUUGUGCCAUAAUGUAGAAUUUUGCUUUUUUCCCAAUUAAGCUCAGAUGUCUUGGUGAUUCCAUGUACUGGUUUCCAAAUUCUUUGACAAUGGAAAGACCAUCCUUGUGUUGGUUAAGCCAGGAAGCUACUGUGGGAAAGGUCUUUUUAAAAAGGAUUCUGGUAGUGUUUCUCAUAGUUUUGAUUUGUGCCAGUGCUUCUCUUGUCUCUUGUCUUCCUUCUGUGUUUACAAAUGUAUGUGGAAGUGGUAUUUUUCUGUGGUGUCCUGUCUUCCUCAGUUACUUAAUUGGUUGUGUGUUGUGAUUUGUUUCCUGAUCUUUGUAGGUAGGAAUGUCUUUAAAGGCUAAAGUUCUGUUAAUUUGUGAUGUGACAAUUUCAGUGUGUCUCUUGUCAUUGAAAUGUAGUUUAAAAUGUUCAGUAAUGUAGCAUGAAAUUAUUGGUUAGUUUUGAAAUGGUUGUGAAAUCAUGUGAAGAAAAUAAGUAUUGCAUCUGAUCAAGAUAAAUUCACUCUAGUGUUUUAUGGCUUUUUAUUCCUAUGUGAUAGUAAUAAAGUCUCAUGUAGGGAUGGAAGCCAUGAAAUACAUUGUGAAAAAUCAUCAACUAAGAUGGGGCCAUGAGAAUAGAAAAUGGUAUAGUUGUAGAGCUAAUGAAAAUUGUUGGGAAAUGGUUUAGUAUGUCACCAUGUUGAUUGCCAUGUUUGCUUUUUAUUUCUUCAUACUUCACCCAUAUAGCUUGACAAGUAAGGAAAUUAGUUUAUAACAGGUUGAUUCACUUUUACAUCAGUGUUAAAUGUUUAAAUUGUUUAUACUUUUUUAUUUUCUAUUCAAUAUAACACUGUACAUGAAACACGAAACUAAUUAGUUUAUACAGUAAAAGACCAACAAAACAAGCCCGACCUGUGAAUUACCAAAUUCAUGUGAUGGAUACCUAAAUUUAGAAUGAAGCCAAAGUAGGUUUUCCCAUUAGCCCAUGGUCCAGGUUUUUUUUACUCCCACACUCAAUAAUAGAUCUGAAUGAUGAGCAAGCAAGUAAAUAAUUCUUUUUCUAUUGACAUGUUUUUCUCAACGUAUACAUUUUCUUCUUUUCCUAUUCUGAAAACAAGACAAGGGAUUAUAGCUCCGAGGGCAGAAAAAGUACUCAUGACAAUGUUCAUAAUUGUGCUAACAUCCCAUAUAUUGCUUUGCUAUCUAAGUUAUGUCAAUCUUCGUAUAUCUUUCUGUCUUGAAUAUAUUAUUUUUGUGGAAAACUUCUGUGAUUGAGAGUCAUUCUUAUAUGACUAAAUUUAUUAUUACAGUCUUCUUUCUGUAUUCUUUUCUAAUGAAAAUUAAUAAAGCAUUUUUGUUA